ensembl:misc_RNA
GGGCAGCGGACAGUUUUGCUUGGAUCUCUGAGGCGGCCACGUGGCCAUACGUUCAACGUUCUGAGAUGCCUGUGCCCUGAGCCAGCCAGAAAGUGACUUACAGCGGAAAACAGGAUUUGAAUGACUUCUGCUCUGGGGAGGCCCCUCAGUAUAAACAGAGAGAAUUUCUGGGAAAUGUACAUAAAGCCAGGCUUUCGGGAAAGG